CCUACGGGUGGCAGCAGUGGGGAAUAUUGGACAAUGGGCGCAAGCCUGAUCCAGCAAUGCCACGUGUGUGAAGAAGGCCUUAGGGUUGUAAAGCACUUUUAUUGGUGAAGAAGUUCUGUAGUUUAAGAGAUGAUAGAAUUGACAUUAGCCAAAGAAAAAGCACCGGCUAACUCUGUGCCAGCAGCCGCGGUAAUACAGAGGGUGCGAGCGUUAAUCGGAAUUACUGGGCGUAAAGAGCUCGUAGGUUGGACUACAAGUCAGAUGUGAAAGCCCUGGGCUUAACCUAGGAUGGUCAUUUGAAACUGUAGACCUAGAGUACGGUAGAGGAAAGAGGAAUUUCCGGUGUAGCGGUGAAAUGCGUAGAUAUCGGAAGGAACAUCAGUAGCGAAGGCGUCUUUCUGGACUGAUACUGACACUGAGGAGCGAAAGCGUGGGUAGCG
rnacentral:rRNA from 1 species